CCCUUAGAUGUCCUGGGCCGCACGCGUGCUACACUGAUGCAUACAGCGAGUACUUUCCAGCUCCGCGAGGCAGCUGGUAAUCAGCAAUAUGCAUCGUGCUGGGGAUAGAUCUUUGGAAUUAUAGAUCUUGAACGAGGAAUUCCUAGUAAGCGCAAGUCAUUAGCUUGCGCUGAUUAAGUCCCUGCCCUUUGUACACACCGCCCGUCGCUCCUACCGAUUUCGAGUGAUUCGGUGAAUCUUUUGGACAGCGUCUGUCCUCGUGUCAGAUGCUGAAAGUCAAGUAAACCAUAUCACUUAGAGGAAGGAGAAGUCGUAACA
rnacentral:rRNA from 1 species